rnacentral:rRNA from 1 species
GUAGUCCACGCCCUAAACGAUGCCUACUAGUUGUUGGGGAUUUACUUCCUCAGUAACGCAGCUAACGCGUGAAGUAGGCCGCCUGGGGAGUACGGUCGCAAGAUUAAAACUCAAAGGAAUUGACGGGGACCCGCACAAGCGGUGGAUGAUGUGGAUUAAUUCGAUGCAACGCGAAAAACCUUACCUACCCUUGACAUGCCACUAACGAAGCAGAGAUGCAUUAGGUGCUCGAAAGAGAAAGUGGACACAGGUGCUGCAUGGCUGUCGUCAGCUCGUGUCGUGAGAUGUUGGGUUAAGUCCCGCAACGAGCGCAACCCUUGUCUUUAGUUGCUACGAAAGGGCACUCUAGAGAGACUGCCGGUGACAAACCGGA